rnacentral:rRNA from 1 species
GAUGAACGCUGGCGGCGUGCCUAAUACAUGCAAGUCGAACGCUGAAGGAGGCGCUUGCUCUUCUGGAUGAGUUGCGAACGGGUGAGUCACGCGUAGGUAACCUGCAUGGUAGCGGGGGAUAACUAUUGGAAACGAUAGUUCAUAACACAUGACAACACUUAUUGCAUGAUAACUGUUUAAAAGGGGCAACUGCUCCACUACCAGCUGGACCUGCGUUGUAUUAGCUAGUUGGUGAGGUAACGGCUCACCAAGGCGACGAUACAUAGCCGACCGGAGAGGGUGGUCGGCCACACUGGGAGUGAGACACGGCCCAGAGUGCUACGGGAGGCAGCAGGAGGGAAUCUGCAGCAAUGGGCGGAAGUCUGACCGAGCAACGCCGCGGGAGUGAAGAGGGUUGUCGGGUCGUAGAGCUCUGUUGUAAGAGAAGAACGAGUGUGAGGGUGGAAAGUUCACAAUGUGACGGUAUCUGAACAGAAAGGGACGGCUAACUACGUG